CCCAUAAAAAAAAAGCAAUCUUGAGACAUGGAUUCUCUACUGCCUCUCUAUCUAUCUCUCCCGUAUGGAAACAAAUCAAUGUCCCUGUCAAUCUAGAGCCACCAUUGCGUUAUUGAUUCUCUGAUCCUUCUCUCUCAAAGUGCAGCAAGCAUUGCCGCAUGGAUUCUCCCACCUUCUCUUAGCCCCCAUGGAAAUCAAUCCACGUCUCUCUCAAACUCGAGCAAGCAAGUUUGGGCAUGUAUCUGGUGUGAUCGUGGAUUCAAUUUUUUUUCUAUCAUCGAUUUUCUAACAUGUCCUUUGAAUUGUUGUGCCGCCAUAUAUUCUUAUCAUUGUAUAAUCUUCGGAUACUGCAUGCAGAUCGAGUCCUAGCACAACUUUGCCCAUCAGUGCAGCGAGCAUUGCGGCAUGGAUUCUCCCAUCUUCUCUUAGCCCCCAUGGAAAUCUAUCCACGUCUCUCUCAAACUAGAGCAAGCAAGUUUGGGCAUGGAUCUGGUGUGAUCACAGAUUCGAUUUUUCUUUCUAUCGUCGAUUUUCUAACAUGUCAUUUGAAUUGUUGUGCCUCCAGGGAUUCAAUCACCAAUCUUAUCAUGUAUAAUCCUGGGAUACUACAUGUAGAUCAGGUCCUAGCACAACUUUGCCCAUCAGGUGAGAUACAAUCUUCAAUACUUUGGGUUCUAUUACUUCUUUUGUAGGUGAAAUUUGAUGCCUGCUCGAAAGGUGAAGAGCGAGGAAGAGGAUGUGAAGGAGCGCUGCUGUGCAUGUAGCUCCACUCAUGAUCCUAUGGCGGAGCAUGGGGGAUGAGAGAAGAUGGACUAGACCGUGUGUCGUGGUGGUCCGUUCGAGGGAAUUUUCUCGAAGAACCAAGAGACACGACAAUAGAUUAGACGUGUACGAGUCCCUAACUUAGCCUGCCAGUAUCAUAUCGAUUUGCAUGUCGAUGCCAUCCUCGCACAACCAGCAGCUGCAAUGUUUUCAGUGUGCCCUAUAUACUCUGAUCUGGCUACAGCCGUCCGCAAUCUCAGGUAAUCUCUGCAGCUUGGUGUGCGGGUUUGACGAUUUAAUCUUCAAUAGAUGACACACUAUGACUAGAAUUUCAGUUUGUUUCGUACACGAGGACAUUAAUCGGAUCCUCAUCCUCCCCCAUGCAACAACUGCUGAUUCGCUUGGGAGAGAAAUAAGUGAGGUUCAGAAACCAAUAUGGUUAUGGGCAAUAAAAAAGCUUUUCGUUCAUCCCAUGAUUUUGGUUACUCACAUUACAAUUAGGUCCGAGAUUCAUCUUUGGAUGCUGUUAGGAAAGAAACUUAUCUUAGUCUCAGUAAUAUUUUCUUUUUCUUUCAUCAAUAUUUGUUCCAGUCUUGCUUUGUAUGACUGAAAUGGUGUGCACCACAUGGCGCUGGCAAAAUUUCCCACAAGUACAUGAUAAUACGUAUAACUACAUGAUAAUACCUCUUAAUUUUUAUAGCUAUUACAAACUUCAUUCAGGGAAGAGAUGGGACUGCAGAGGAGCUGUUCGCCCGAUUUCAUUGUAAGCUGGAUCAUGUUAUUAUGCGGUCACCGAUUAGUGGAAGCCCUAUGGGACACGCGAAGGAACCAAAUCUUUAGUGAUGUAUAUAUGGCUGAAGAUAACUACUUAUGCCAAAGAGUCCAGAGGAAAUAAAAAACAUGAAUGUCUAACGGAAUGUGCAUGUCGUAUUAUUAUGGAAACAGAAACACUCUGAAGUCACGAUUGUGGUAAUAAUCAAAUUUUCUAUGUGCAACCAUGUACAAUCCAU